GAUGAAGAACGCAGUGAAAUGCGAUAAGUAAUGUGAAUUGCAGAAUUCAGUGAAUCAUCGAAUCUUUGAACGCACAUUGCGCCCGCCAGUAUUCUGGCGGGCAUGCCUGUCCGAGCGUCAUUUCAACCCUCGAACCCCUCCGGGGGGUCGGCGUUGGGGAUCGGCCCUUUACGGGGCCGGCCCCGAAAUACAGUGGCGGUCUCGCCGCAGCCUCUCCUGCGCAGUAGUUUGCACACUCGCAUCGGGAGCGCGGCGCGUCCAAUGCCGUAAAACACCCAACUUUCUGAAAUGUUGACCUCGGAUCAGGUAGGAAUACCCGCUGAACUUAAGCAUAUCAAUAAGCGGAGGA
rnacentral:misc_RNA from 1 species